rnacentral:rRNA from 1 species
UAGUCCACGCCGUAAACGAUGUCUACUGGCCGUUGGGGGGAUUUACCCUUUAGUGGCGCAGCUAACGCCUUAAGUAGACCGCCUGGGGAGUACGGCCGCAAGGCUAAAACUCAAAGAAAUUGACGGGGGCCCGCACAAGCGGUGGAGCAUGUGGUUUAAUUCGAUGCAACGCGAAGAACCUUACCCACCCUUGACAUCAUCGGAACUUGUUAGAGAUAACUCAGUGCCUUCGGGAGCCGAUAGACAGGUGCUGCAUGGCUGUCGUCAGCUCGUGUCGUGAGAUGUUGGGUUAAGUCCCGUAACGAGCGCAACCCUUGUCCCUAGUUGCCAGCACGUAAUGGUGGGGACUCUAGGGAGACUGCCGGUGACAAACCGGNGGAAGGUGGGGAUGACGUCAAGGUCAUCAUGGCCCUUAUGGGGUAGGGGCUACACACGUGCUACAAUGGUCGGUACAGAGGGGCUGGCAAACUCGCGAGAGCAAGCUAAUCU